UAUCUUUAAAAAAAAGAAACAACAUUAAAUUUCCAAAUAAGAUUAUCUUUUUAAAAUAAAACAAUAAAAAUACAUAAAAAUAGUUACAAAAAAUAAAUAAAUAAAUAUUUUUAAGUAUUCAGCAAAAUACUAAACCCUAUAUCCUAAAUCUUAAACCCUAAACCCUAAACCUUAAACUUUGGAUAAACUCUAAACGUUUGAAAAUCCUA
rnacentral:lncRNA from 1 species